GUGCAUAUAUAUAUAUAUAUUGCAUAAUAAAUAAGCAAGGCUAUGCACAAAACUUCCAGUGCAAAAUAUUGCUGAGUGAAAUAUUGCUGAGUGACUUUUCCUUUCUCUUGUGGAAAUUGUGAGAAUUGACUAGGAAUAUGUGAGAAGAUGAAGGUUUAGCCGAGUUCACAGGCCAUGAAUCUGCAGUGAAGAGCAAGCGAAAGCAAGAUCCUGGAAGAUACUGGCAAGUGGCCGGAUCACAGAAUCCAGAUCUGGUAUCUUGUAUACAGGGGAUGAAUGUGGUCUUGUUUCCUUCUUUAGCUGCUGGAAACCUUAGAGCAAAAAAUAAGGCCACUUUUGUAACUGUGUCUGACUCAGCAGCAUAACUUUUCCGUUGUCUUCCAUGUGCUAUCCUGUUUUUAUUUUUCCUUUCCCUUGAUUGCUCUCUAUACAUACAUUUUUGAGAAGUUGUUUUUCUUUAUUUUUCAAACUAAUUCAUUCAAUACUCUCCUCCAGGUAGAGUUUAUAAUUGUUUGUAGUUGAGAAAAUUGGACUAGAAUGAAGCCUUGUGGAAUCCAAGAAGAAUUCGUUAUUCUUUAGCUGCUUUCAUCUCCAACUGUGUUAGGCAUCCUCCUAAGAUGGUCCCCAAGAUGGCAGACCCCUGGAAUCAUCUGUACAAUUUCCUCUCUUUUCACAGGCUUUUAUGAGUUGAUUUUUCAGCGAACCUUCAAGGGGCUAAGGGGAACAUUACCCUUGGCCACUAUACUGCCAACAACCUAUGAGCCUGGAAGAGGAUCCCAAGUCUCAGAUGAAACCAGGACCUCAGCCAACACCUUGAUUUCAGCCUCAUGAGAUCCUAAGCAGAGGGUACAGUAAAGCCACAUAUGGUGCCUAACCAAAAAAACUAUGAGAUAAUAAAGAUGUGUUUUGGAAGCUGCUAAACUGGUGUUGAUUUGUUACAUAGCAAUUAAAAACUAAUAUACAAACACUACGGUAUUUGUUUUCUUCAUUAAUUAAACAUAACGUAUCCUCACUUCUGUAUCCAUCAGUAAGGCAAGGUUCUGUGAUAAAGACCUGCCUGCAUUGUACGUCUGUAUGGUUCCUUUCCCUAUCCCAAAUCUUAGAUGCAUAUUUUGAUUGAUGAUGAUUGUCCUUGAUCUAAGAGAUGAUGUGAUAUCCUGCUACCCCAUUCUUCAACCCCCUCAGACACUGGGAUCAUUGUAGAAUGAUUCAUAACAUUCCCUGGGACCCCAACACAUGGUGUUCUAACGUUUCUCAGUCUACAAUACAGUAGUCCCUAAAUCACAUGACAACUUUUCCUAUUGUAGAAAAAGUGCACGCAGAGGCGAUGUGGUGGCUGAUCUGCGGCAGCAGAUGAGGUCCUGUAUUCUGCUCCUGCCCCACACUGACCAGAUGCCCAUUUAGACAAGGUUUCCCCUGCUUCCACUCAUAGACACAGUUAUCUCUCAGACUCAAGGUGGCCUCCAAGUCCUUAGCAUCCACUUCUUGUAGAAGCAGUGCCUUCCCCUUUGCAGGCCAGUGACUUUUUUUAGAUUCUCAAACACAAAGUGACUGAUCAUUCACCUUUUCCUUGGCCUGAUUGACUAUAGGAAUACCAGAAUGGUGGUGGAGAGGGGUAAGGAGUUGGUGUAAUGUUUCACACCUCAAAGGUAUUCACCAACACUAGGUCACAAGCUCUAUCUCUCUCUCUUUCUCACACACACACACACACACACACACACACACACACAUUCUCUGGAAGGUCAUCUCAUCACAGAUUUACAGCCCUGUAAUCACCCUUGAAUGAACCUCUUCGGGAGGUGCUUGGGAAAGCAAGGAGAGAAGACAGCUUGCUCAUUCUGUCACAUGCAUUAUUGGAUUUGGGCAAUUAUUUUAAUCCCCAUAGUAGAAACUUGCUCAUAUUUCCAUAUUGGUACAAACUCUUCAGUCUACUUAAGUGGAUAUCCAAGGAACUAUUUAAUUUCCAACUUAAUAGUAUCAUGGGGAAAAAAGACAAUAACAAAACAAUUUUGAGUCAAAUAAAUGGUCUCAUAUGAAUGGCAUCUGCAAUACCUUCAACAACUAGGCAGAAGAUAUAUGAUGCUAUCAUAGUUUUCUUUUAAAAAAUCACCAAAGCAGUUUCAUCUUUAACACCCUACCUAAGAUUUCUAAAUGAUAGCCUAUCAAAUUAUAUCCCCAUUAGGUAUAUAAUAGCUCCUUUCUUACCUUAGAUAAAUAUAUUCUUGUUUCACAAGUUUUUUUAAAAGGCUUUGCUUGAAAUUAAAAUCUGACCAACAAACUAGAGCAGAGAUAAUUCCUCAGUGUCAAUAGGCUUCCUUGGAAACUUACCCACAUAUAACCAAUGCAGCUUCACUCGUGUAUAGAAUAUACUGACAGAGAAAAAGAAAAUACAGAUGACAUUACAAUCAUAAACACCCUAUUUCCUGUUUUUAAAAAAACAUGUCUUCAGAAGUGCUUUUUUUACAAAAAUUUAUUUUAAGUUCUGGGAUACACGUGCAGAAUGUGCAGAUUUGUUCCAUAGGUAUACAUGUGCCAUGGUGGUUUGCUGCACCCAUCAACCUGUCAUCUAGGUUUUAAGCCACGCAUAGAUUAGGUGUUUGUCCUAAUGCUCUCCCUCCCCUUUCCCCCAACCCCCGACAGGCCCCAGUGUGUGAUGUUCUCCUCCCUGUGUUCAUAUGUUCUCAUUGUUCAACUCCCACUUCUGAGUGAGAACAUGUGGUGUUUGGUUUUCUGUUUCUGUGUUAGUUUGCUGAGAAUGAUGGCUUCCAGCUUCAUCCAUGUCCCUUCAAAGGACAUGAACUCAUCCUUUUUUAUGGCUGCAUAGUAUUCCAUGGUGUGCAUGUGCCACAUUUUCGUUAUCCAAUCUGUCAUUGACGGGCAUUUGGGUUGGUUCCAGGUCUUUGCUAUUGUAAAUAGUGCUGCAAUAAAAAUACAUGCACAUGUGUCUUUAUAGUAGAGUAAUUUAUAUUCCUUUGGGUAUAUACCAAGUAAUGGGAUUGCUGGGUCAAAUGGUAUUUCUGGUUCUAUAUCCUUGGGGAAUCGCCACACUGUCUUCCACAAUGGUUGAACUAAUUUACACUCCCACCAACAGUGUAAAAGUGUUCCUAUUUCUCCACAGCCUCGCUAGCAGCUGUUGUUUCCUGACUUUUUAAUAAUCACCAUUCUAACUGGCAUGAGAUGGUAUCUCAUUGUGGUUUUGAUUUGCAUUUCUCUAAUGACCAGUGAUGAUGAGCUUUUUUCAUUUGUUUGUUGGCCACAUAAAUGUCUUCUUUUGAGAAGUGCCUGUUCAUAUCCUUCACCCAAUUUUUGAUGGGAUUUCUCAUUUGUUCUUUUUUUCCUGUAAAUUUGUUUAAGUUCCUUGUAGAUUCUGGAUAUUAGACCUUUAUCAGUUGGGUAGACUGCAAAAAUUUUCUCCCAUUCUGUAGGUUGCCUGUUCACUUUAAUGAUAGUUUCUUUUGCUGUGCAGAAGCUCUUUAGUUUAUUUAGAUCCCAUUUGUUAAUUUUGGCUUUUGUCACAAUUGCUUUUUGUGUUUUAGUCAUGAAGUCUUUCCCCAUGCCUAUGUCCUAAAUGGUAUUGCCUAGGUUUUCUUCUAGGGUUUUUAUGGUUUUGGGUUUUACAAUUAAUUCUUUAAUCCAUCCUGAGUUAAUUUUUGUAUAAGGUGUAAGGAAGGGGUCCAGGUUCAGUUUUCUGCAUAUGACUAGCCAGUUUUCCAAACACCAUUUAUUAAAUAAGGAAUACUUUCCCCAUUGCUUGUUUUUGUCAGGUUCGCCGAAGAUUGGAUGGUUGUAGAUGUGUGGUGUUAUUUCUGAGGUCUCUGUUCUGUUCCAUUGUUCUAUAUAUCUGUGUUGGUACCAGUACCAUGCUGUUUUGGCUACUGUAGCCUUGUAGUAUAGCAUGAGGUCAGGUAGCAUGAUGCCUCCAGCUUUGUUAUUUUUGCUUAGGAUUGUCUUGGCUAAACUGACUCUUUUUCGGCUCCAUAUGAAAUUUAAAGUAGCUUUUUUCUAAUUCUGCAAAGAAAGUCGAUGGUAGCUUGAUGGGAAUAGCAUUGAAUCUAUAAAUUACUUUGAGCAGUAUGGCCAUUUUCAUGAUAUUGAUUCUUUCUAUCCAUGAAUAUGGAAUUUUUUUCCAUUUGUUUGUGUGCUCUCUUAUUUCCUUGAGCAGUGAUUUGUAGUUCUCCUUGAAAAGGUCACUCAUGUCCCUUGUAAGUUGUAUUCCUACAUAUUAUAUUCUCUUUGUAGCAAUUUUGACGUGAGUUCACUCAAAAUUUGGCUCUCUGCUUGUCUACUAUUGGUGUAUAGGAAUGCUUGUCAUUUUUGCACAUUGAUUUUUUAUCCUGAGACUUUGCUAAAGUUGCUUAUCAGCUUAAGGAGUUUUGGGGCUGAGACAAUAGGGUUUUCUAAAUAUACUAUCAUGUCAUCUGCAAAGAGAGACAAUUUGACUUCCUGUCUUCCUGUUUGAAUACGCUUUAUUUCUUUCUCUUGCCUGAUUGCCCUGGCCAGAACUUCCAAUAUUAUGUUGAAUAAGAGUGGUGAGAGAGGGCAUCCUUGUCUUCUGCUGGUUUUCAAAGGGAAUGCUUCCAGCUUUUGCCCAUUCAGUAUGAUAUAGGCUGUGGGUUUGUCAUAAAUAGCUCUUAUUAUUUUGAGAUACGUUCCAUCGAUACUUAGUUUAUUGAGAGUUUUUAGCAUGAAGGGAUGUUGAAUUUCAUCAAAGGCCUUUUCUGCAUCUAUGAGAUAAUCUUGUGGUUUUUGUCAUUGGUUCUGUUUAUGUGAUGCAUUAUGUUUACUGAUUAGCAUAUGUUGAACCAGCCUUGCAUCUCAGGGAUGAAGCCGACUUGAUCGUGGUGGAUAAGCUUUUUGAUGUGCUGCUCGAUUCAGUUUGCCAGUAUUUUACUGAGGAUUUUCACAUCAAUGUUCAUCAGGGAUAUUGGCCUGAAAUUUUCUUUUUUUGUUGCAUCUCUGCCAGGUUUUGGUAUCAGGAUGACGCUGGCCUCAUAAAAUGAGUUAGGGAGGAAUCUCUCUUUUUCUAUUGUUUGGAAUAGUUUCAGAAGGAAUGGUACAAGCUCCUCUUAGUACCUCUGGUAGAAUUUGGCUAUGAAUCCGUCUGGUACUGGGCUUUUUUGUUGUUGUUGGUGGUGGUGGUGGAGGUGGUAGGCUAUUAAUUACUGCCUCAAUUUCAGAACUUGUUACUGAUCUAUUCAAAGAUUCAACUUCUUCCUGAUUUAGUCUUUGGAGGUUGUGUGUGUCCAGGAAUUUAUCUAUUUCCUCUAGAUUUUCUAGUUUAUUUGCACAUAGGUGUUUAUAGUAUUCUCUGAUGGUAGUUUGUAUUUCUGUGGCAUCAGUGGUGAUAUCCCCUUUAUCAUUUUUUAUUGUGUAUAUUUGAUUCUUCUCUCUUUUCUUCUUUAUUAGUCUAGCUAGCAGUCUAACUAUUUUGUUAAUCUUUUCAAAUCCCCAGCUCCUGGAUUCAUUGAUUUUUUAGAAGGGUUUUUGUGUCUCUAUCUCCUUCAGUUCUGCUCUGAUCUUAGUUAUUUCUUGUACUCUGCUAGCUUUUGAAUUUGUUUGCUCUUGCUUCUCUAGUUCUUUUAAUUGUGAUGUUACGGUGUCAAUUUCAGUUCUUUCCAGCUUUCUGAUGUGGGCAUUUAGUGCUAUAUAUUUCCCCCUUAACACUGGUUUAGCUGUGUCCCAGAGAUUCUGGUACAUUGUCUCUUUGUUCUCAUUAGUUUCAGAAAACUUCUUUAUUUCUGUCUUAAUUUUGUUAUUUACCCAGUAGUCAUUCAGGAGCAAGUUGUUUCAAUUUCCAUGUAGUUGUGCAGUUUUGACUGAGUUUCUUAAUCCUGAGUUCUAAUUUGAUUGCACUGUGGUCUGAGAGACUGUUAUGAUUUCCAUUCUUUUGCAUUUGCUAAGGAGUGUUUUACUUCCAAUUAUGUGGUCAAUUUUAUAAAGUGCUAUGUGGCACUAAGAAAAAUGUAUAUUGUGUUGAUUUGGGGUGGAGAGUUCUGUAGAUGUCUAUUAGGUCCACUUGGUCCAGAGCUGAGUUUGAGUCCUGAAUAUCCUUGUUAAUUUUUCUUCAUUAAUUAAUUGAUCUGUUCAUUGAUCUAAUAUUGACAGUGGGGUGUUAAAGUCCCCCAUUACAUUACAACUGUGUGGGAGUAUAAGUCUCUUUGUAG
rnacentral:lncRNA from 1 species